rnacentral:rRNA from 1 species
UACAGAGGUGGCAAGCGUUGUCCGGAAUUAUUGGGCGUAAAGAGCUCGUAGGCGGCCUGUUGCGUCCGCUGUGAAAGCCCGGGGCUUAACCCCGGGUCGGCAGUGGAUACGGGCAGGCUAGAGGUAGGUAGGGGAGAAUGGAAUUCCCGGUGUAGCGGUGAAAUGCGCAGAUAUCGGGAGGAACACCAGUAGCGAAGGCGGCACUCUGGGCCGGUACUGACGCUGAGGAGCGAAAGCGUGGGGAGCGAACAGG